rnacentral:tRNA from 1 species
AAGGGUUCUUGUAGUUGAAU